GCUCCGUUGGUGAACCAGCGGAGGGAACAUUACCGAGUUAUUUGACUCCCAAACCCCUGUGAACUUAUACCUUUACUGUUGCCUCGGCGGGUUAACGCCCCGGAAGGCCCGCGAGGGCCGCCGGAACCAGGCGCCCGCCGGGGGACCCAAACUCUUGUAUCUUUUUUAUAGCAUGUCUGAGUGGAAUCAUAAACAAAUGAAUCAAAACUUUCAACAACGGAUCUCUUGGUUCUG
rnacentral:misc_RNA from 1 species